GGGUGCAACCAUUCCAGCAUUAAUGCACCCGAUCCCAUCAGAACAUCGCAGUGAAGCAUGCUUGGGCGAGAGUAGUACUGGGAUGGGUGACAUCCUGGGUAGUCCUCGUGUUCCACCCU
rnacentral:rRNA from 1 species